AAAAGAAAAGAAAAGAGAACACUGCAAAUCAGAGCGAGCUGAGCAGAGCCGUUGGAUCAUGGAAACGGAGAUCGAUGAGCGAAGAGAUAGAUAAAUAGAGGGAAGAGAGAGAUUGGUAGGCUAGCUCUCUGAGCUCUUAAGGGUUUUGUUCUUUCAGGUUCUCAAAAAAGACAGCAUGCGAUCUAUCAAUCUCCUUCAAUGUUUUAACACAUGUACCUCUUUUGAAUUAUCAUCAAAACCGAGUCUAAUUUUAAAUAUUUUCAGUCUCUCUCAUAUGUAAAAUGCAGUGAGCCAUCACAUGUGCAUAGUCAUGCGUCUUCAACUAUACGUUAUAUAAGCCAG
rnacentral:sRNA from 1 species